rnacentral:lncRNA from 1 species
UUGCCAAGUAGCUACGGGCGUAGUUGAGGGGGCAGUCGAGGGCGGAGCGAAUUGAAGUGGAGAUGAGCCCCGCCACGGCGGAGUCAUCGAAGCUGUAGACUUGGAAGCGGAGGUAGGGGAAGGUGGUGGAGAUGGUGGCGCGUAGGAGGGACGCGUUGGAGGAGGCGGAGGCCACGAAGUGGAAGACGACGUUUUGGGGACAAGAGGAGUGCUGGAGAACUGAGAGGAUGGCGGCCACCGAGCCUCGGAUGUAUGCAGUGUCAAGGGUCAUUGCUACAUGGACGGCGAGGUCCGAACAUAUGUAGCCACCGUUGCUGUCCUCUUCC